rnacentral:lncRNA from 1 species
CAGGAAGAUAAAAGACCCAGAUUCCUGUUGCUCAGCAUGAGUUGGAGGUUGAAGAAAGGUAAUGUAUGACUGAGAUUGGCAUGGAAGGAGCAAGAAAAUAGCACUGAACCUGAAGGGGGACCUUCUGCAUGAGAAGAAAGACAAGGCCAAAACAAAAACGCCUUAGUGGAUGCUAACGAGGACAAGUGAAUCACUAGAACAAGACUCCCAUUCUCGUUCCUCAUCAAGCUCUUGGAAUUAGAUGUGACUUCAGAAAAAAUUUGUAGUUGUAAAAAAACACUGAAUAGAUGGAAAUUAAAUGGAGGGGUCAGUGCAGAAUAAAAACUCACAUGGUAAACUCUGUGAAGAUUUAAUGCAUCUAUUUUGAAGGUUGAGAGGAUUCAAUGUCACCGGGUUCAGCCUCUGUUCUUUCCCUAGAAACUCAGGUGAUUUGGAAGCUCUGAAGCUGCCCAGGGGUGUUUUCCAAGUGUUUUCAGUGUCUGUCAGCCUAAUGGAAGUAGAAGUCCAAGAUUUCCUCUGGAUCACGCUGUGCAUUUCAGUAAAACACACAAAAAAUUUUUUUUGUGCUUGAUUUUAUUGUUACUCUCUUGUUAAUCAGAAGCUCUCAUGGUUCAAUU